ensembl:snRNA U6 U6 spliceosomal RNA
GUGCUCACAUCAGCAGCACACAUACUAAAAAUUUUGAAUGAUACAGAGACAGUUAUCAUGGCCUCUGUACAAGGAUAACACACAAAAUUGUGAAGUGUUCCAUAUUUUU